rnacentral:rRNA from 1 species
AAGGAAUAUUGGUCAAUGGACGCAAGUCUGAACCAGCCAUGCCGCGUGGAGGAUUAAGGCCCUCUGGGUUGUAAACUCCUUUUAUCUGGGAAGAAAUGUACUUUUUCUUGAGUACUUGACGGUACCAGAGGAAUAAGUACCGGCUAACUCCGUGCCAGCAGCCGCGGUAAUACGGAGGGUGCAAGCGUUAUCCGGAUUCACUGGGUUUAAAGGGUGCGUAGGUGGGCAGGUAAGUCAGUGGUGAAAUCUCCGGGCUUAACCCGGAAACUGCCGUUGAUACUAUUUGUCUUGAAUAUUGUGGAGGUAAGCGGAAUAUGUCAUGUAGCGGUGAAAUGCUUAGAUAUGACAUAGAACACCAAUUGCGAAGGCAGCUUACUACACAAUCAUUGACGCUGAGGCACGAAAGCGUGGGGA